CCUGCCCCUAGAGCUUUUGUAGGUAUGGCUGCAGUAUCACAUGCGUGCCAGUAGGUGGCAGAGAGGAGGGAGGCUGUGUCUAAGCUCAGUGUUCUGAUCUAUGAACAUCUGAAGCCUAACAUU
ensembl:snoRNA Gm25148 predicted gene, 25148